GAUGAAGAACGUAGCGAAAUGCGAUAAGUAGUGUGAAUUGCAGAAUUCAGUGAAUCAUCGAAUCUUUGAACGCUCAUUGCGCCCAUUAGUAUUCUAGUGGGCAUGCCUGUUCGAGCGUCAUUAAGUCCACUUAAGCCCUGCUUAGUGUUGGGAGACUGCUCCAGCGGUGCUACCCUGUAGCUACCCUGCAGCUCCUCAAAGACAGCGGCGGAGUUGUGGUAUCCUCUGAGCUUAGUAACUUGUUCUCGCUUUCGAGUACACCACUUCCCCUGCCGUAAAACCCUUAAUUUUUAAUGGUUGACCUCGGAUCAGGUAGGAAUACCCGCUGAACUUAAGCAUAUCAAUAAGCGGAGGA
rnacentral:misc_RNA from 1 species